CAUGCUGAUCACCGAGCGGUAGAUGGGCAUCCGCAGCGCCCGCAGCCGGGCCGUCUCGGUGGCCGCCGGAUCGUCCUCGGCCAGCAGGGC
rnacentral:tRNA from 1 species